GUCGCGGAGGUCGUGGAUCACCUGGUGGAUGCCUUUCGGGGAGGCAUCAGGUGGAGAUCUGGCAGGAGAAAGAGAAGAAGAUGUUAGAGAAGAUGACUGGAGACAGUCCUGUUGAGCACUCCUUUAAGAGCAAGGGUACUGCGAAGACACAGAUCGUUCCUCUAGCGCCAAUGCUAUUUGUGCAGAAUUCCACCGACGUCGGAGAAGCUGGAGUCG
rnacentral:lncRNA from 1 species